CCUACGGGGGGCUGCAGUGGGGAAUAUUGCACAAUGGGCGCAAGCCUGAUGCAGCCAUGCCGCGUGUAUGAAGAAGGCCUUCGGGUUGUAAAGUACUUUCAGUCGUGAGGCAGGUGUUAAGGUUAAUAACCUUAGCAAUUGACGUUAGCGACAGAAGAAGCACCGGCUAACUCCGUGCCAGCAGCCGCGGUAAUACGGGGGGUGCGAGCGUUAAUCGGAAUUACUGGGCGUAAAGGGCACGCAGGCGGUUAAUGACGUUGAACGUGACAUCGUCGGGGUUGACCGGGGAAUGGCAUUGAAGGCUGGUUAGCUAGAGUCUUGGAGAGGGGGGUAGUAUACCACGUGUAGCAGUGAAAUGCGUACAGAGGUGGAGUAAUGACGGUAGCGAAGACGGCACCCUGGACAAAGACUGACGCGCACGUGCAAAAGCGUGCGGAGAAAACAGGAUUAGAUACCCGUGUAGUA
rnacentral:rRNA from 1 species